rnacentral:rRNA from 1 species
CCGUGAUUCCCUCAGUCAGCGGCGAGCGAAGAGGGAUCCAACUCGAUGCUGAAUCGGAGCAAUCCGACUUGUAGCAUUCAAGAGGUUACGUGGAUGGUGCGGGACUGGCGAAAUUCAACGCGCAAAGCAAACCCAUUGCUGAACACAACCCCUCAUGUGAGUAUUGAGCCAUAGAAGGUGUCAGCCCAUUGAGCCAGAAACCCAGCGCCACAUUUGAUCUCACCAAACGAGUAGCACUGCUUGGGAGUGCAGUGUGAAUCGGCAGGUAUGUGUCUGCCAAAGUUAAAUACAGAGUAGGAAGACCGAUAGCGAACAAGUAGCGUGAGCGAAAGUUUGAAAAGCACUUUGGAAAGAGAGUGACAUAGAACCUGAAGUCGUGACAACGACAAUGGACGUACCUCCAUUUCAUCGGCCAAAACCGACCUCCAAGCAUUAUCCUCUAUUGACUUUAGCGCAAUGGGGGCAACAAGUGCAGAAGCAGAGGUUCCGGUCCAGCGAGCAGGAGUAAAGUUGGGAGCACAGUUUACUGCGAGCCCCUUCUUUCUUGUGAGCUCCAUUUUUGGCGCUGGAGAUGGGGUGCCUCCACCCGUCUUGAAACACGGACCAAGGAGUCAAACAGACGCGCAAGGGAGAAGAUAUGUUUUCGAGUACUUCUCUCGUACUGAAAGGGAGCCAGCAAUGGCGUAUGGUGUGCACAAUUUACUUGCUCAACACCGACCGGCCCGUACGCGGGUUGAGUUCGAGUGUGCCUGUUUGGACCCGAAAGGUGGUGAACUAUGCCUGAAACAAGGUGAAGCCCGGGGAAACCCAGGUGGAGGCCUGUAGCGAUGCUGACGUGCAAAUCGCUCGCAUGAUUUGGGUAUCGGAGCGAAAGACUCAUCGAACCACCUAGUAGCUGGUUCACAUCGAAGUUUCCCUCAGGAUAGCUGGUGCUUAACUUUUUAUAGUAUUGUGCGGUAAAGCAAAUGAUUAGAGGCAUUGGUGUUCUUGUGAUAUCGACCUAUUCUCAAACUUUAAAUGUGCAAAACAACCCGCCUUUGCCUAGUCGGAAGGCGGGAAAGAAAAGAAUUAAGGCACCAAGUGGGCCUUCUUCGGUAAGCGGAGCAGGCGAUGCGGAAUGAACCGCUUAGGGAUAUGUGGCGUCCAAACUUUUGGGCUCAUUCUCGAUACG